AAAGAUAUUAUAUUUCUCAUUCUAUAACCAGGAAAAUAGUAAUAGAGACUAACUACAUAUUUGGUCAAAGAAACAGGAUAAAGACAAUAGUUUUAGGAGUUCCCGUUGUGGCUCAGUGGUUAAUGAAUCCAACCAGCAACCAUGAGGUUGCGGGUUCGAUCCCUGGCCUUGCUCACUGGGUUAAGGAUCUGGCAUUGCCAUGAGCUGUGGUGUAGGUCACAGACGUGGCUCGGAUCCAGCGUUGCUGUGGCUGUGAUGUAGGCCGGCAGCUACAGCUCCUGAUUGGACCCAUAGCCUGGGAAUCUCCAUAUGCCACAGCAAAUCUUGGCUUUGGUCUUCUUAUACUUUUUAAACAAAUGACCCCUAGAGAAAAUGCAAAUGAGGUUUCCUGAGAGGGGAGGGAGAUGAAACAGGGAUGUGCAGGCAGCAUCCAAAAACCUCAAUGAUAACUUCUGAGUAAAGGAGUUACAGUAACAAUAAAGGUAGCUAACAUUAUAUAGUUCUUCUAGGUGCUAUGCAUUCUCUAGGUGCUUUACUUACAUUAAAUCAUUUAAGUCUCAUAUUAGCCCCUCAUUUUAGAGAUAAGGACACCAAGAAGACAUAGGCAAAAGAUAAAAGAAAGAAGGAUUUCAAAAUUUUAAAUUUUAAAUUUUGCUCUUUGAAAGACAGCCUUAAGAAAUGGAAAAAGUAAGCUACAGACAGGGAGAAAGUAUUUGACAUAUAUAUACGAUGUAUGUCUGAGAAGGGAUUUAUAUUCGGAAUAUAUGAAGAAUUCUUAAACAACUCAGUAAGACUACAGGUCGGUAAGAAAAUGGGCAAAGAUUUGAACAGAAACUUCUCAAAAAAAGAUAUAUGAAUAACCAGUAAACAUACUGUUCAAUUAAAAUAACCAUCGGAGGAGUUCCCACUGUGGCUCAGCAGGUUAAGAACCCAAUGCUGUCUCUGUGACGAUGUGGGCUGGAUCUCUGGCCUUACUCAGUGAGUUAAGGAUCCAGCAUUGCCACAAGCUGCAGCAUAGGUCAUAGAUGUGGCUUAGAUCUGGUGUUGCCAUGGCUGUGGCACAGGCCUGCAGCUGCAGCUCUGAUUUAACCCCUAGCCCAGGGACUUCCAUAUGCUGCAGGUUUGGCCAUAAAAAAAAAUUAAACCAUGAUAAAAUACCACCACAUAGCUAUUAAAAUGGCAAAAUUAAAUCAGAUGAUACCAGUUUAACAAUGCUGAACAACAGGUUCAUAUAUACAGCGCAUACUUUCAAAACUCCUUUAUAUAUAAAGGUAAACAUAAAACCUAUCAAUCUUACUUGUAAAUAUUUAUCUAAAAGAAAUGAAAACAUUCCCCAAAGACUUGUACACUAAUAUUCAUAGAAGCUUUAAUCACAAUACUCAGUAACUAGAAGCAGCUUAAAUGCCCAACAACAGGCAAAUGCUGUUUUGAGCACACCACAUUGUUUGGCUACAACGGAACACUACUCAGCAAUAAAAAAGAACAUAAUAUUGAUAUAGUCACCUACAUGGGUACAUCUCAAAAACAUGCGAAAUGAAUGAACUCAGACACAUAAGAGAAAAUACUAUGUAUUUCUGUGUAUAUGAAACUCUAGAAAAAACUAAUUUCUAGCUAAAGAAUGCAGAUCAAGGGUUGCUUAGGGUGGGUGGGGAAUGAUAGGGAAGGUACAAUAAGGAAAUUUAGAGAUAAUGACUGUGGUGGUACUAACAGGUAUACAUAUCUGUCAAAACUCAUCAUAUUGAACACUUAAAAUGGGUUUGUUUGUUUUUUUGUUUUUGUUUGUUUUUGUCUUUUUGCCAUUUCUCGGGCCGCUGCCGCGGCACAUGGGAUGUUCCCAGGCUAGGGGUCCAAUCAGAGCUGUAGCCACCGGCCUACGCCA
rnacentral:lncRNA from 1 species